AGCAGCCGCGGUAAUUCCAGCUCCAAUAGCGUAUAUUAAAGUUGUUGCAGUUAAAAAAGCUCGUAGUUGAAUUUCGGGGUCGGUAGGUCGGUCAUGCCUCUGGUAUGCACUGGUCUCACUGAUUCCUCCUUCCUGAUGAGCCCGUAAUGCCAUUAAUUUUGGCGUUGCGAGGAAUCUGGACUGUUACUUUGAAAAAAUUAGAGUGUUUAAAACAAGCUGACGCUUGAAUACAUUAGCAUGGAAUAAUGGAAUAGGACGUUCGAUCCUAUUUUGUUGGUUUCUAGGAUUGACGUAAUGAUUAAUAGGGAUAGUUGGGGGCAUUAGUAUUCAAUUGUCAGAGGUGAAAUUCUUGGAUUUAUUGAAGACUAACUACUGCGAAAGCAUUUGCCAAGGAUGUUUUCAUUAAUCAAGAACGAAAGUUAGGGGAUCGAAGACGAUCAGAUACCGUCGUAGUCUUAACCAUAAACUAUGCCGACUAGGGAUCGGAUGUACGUUUAAUUUUUAAUGUAACUCAUUCUAA
rnacentral:rRNA from 1 species